UCCUUCAUGGUCCAGUGGUUAGGAUUUCUCGCUUUCACCGAGAAGGCCGGGGUUCGAUUCCCCGUGUAGGAG